rnacentral:rRNA from 1 species
UGGGGAAUAUUGCACAAUGGAGGGAACUCUGAUGCAGCGACGCCGCGUGAGUGAUGAAGGAAUUCGUUUCGUAAAACUCUGUUCUAUGGGAAGAAAAGGACUGUACCAUAGGAGAAAGCUCCGGCUAAAUACGUGCCAGCAGCCGCGGUAAUACGUAUGGAGCGAGCGUUGUCCGGAAUUAUUGGGCGUAAAGGGUGCGCAGGCGGCUUUACAAGUUGGAUGUGAAAUAUUGUGGCUCAACCACAAACGUGCAUCCAAAACUGCAAAGCUUGGGUUAAGGAGAGGUAAGUGGAAUUCCUGGUGUAGCGGUGGAAUGCGUAAAUAUCAGGAGGAAUACCGGUGGCGAAGGCGACUUACUGGACUUAAACUGACGCUCAGGCACGAAAGCGUGGGGAGCAAACAGG